rnacentral:rRNA from 1 species
UACGGAAGGCAGCAGUGGGGAAUAUUGCACAAUGGGCGCAAGCCUGAUGCAGCCAUGCCGCGUGUAUGAAGAAGGCCUUCGGGUUGUAAAGUACUUUCAGUCGUGAGGAAGGUGUUAAGGUUAAUAACCUUAGCAAUUGACGUUAGCGACAGAAGAAGCACCGGCUAACUCCGUGCCAGCAGCCGCGGUAAUACGGAGGGUGCGAGCGUUAAUCGGAAUUACUGGGCGUAAAGGGCACGCAGGCGGUUAAUUAAAGUUGGAUGUGAAAUCCCCGGGCUUAACCUGGGAAUGGCAUUCAAGACUGGUUAGCUAGAGUCUUGUAGAGGGGGUAGAAUUCCAUGUGUAGCGGUGAAAUGCGUAGAGAUGUGGAGGAAUACCGGUGGCGAAGGCGGCCCCUGGACAAACGACUGACGCUCAUGUGCGAAAGCGUGGGGAGCAAACAGGA